AGGUCCCCUGCAGGGCUCGAGGUGGCUGUCCUAGGAGCUAAUGGUCUCAUGGAGGAUUAUCUCCUUCUGUUCUUGAGUUGUCUCCCAGGCCUGACCUCAGGACAACGGCUCAGAAGGUUGAUGGGCCCCCUGAAGGAAGGCGCCUCAGUGUGUAAGUGAUGCAAGGUGGACGGUCUCAGUGAUGGAAUGAGAUGCUUAGAGAGCUCCCCAUAGGGACCCCCAGGAAAAUGUCCACUUCUCUCCUGGCCUCGUUGGUUCUUAUUUGCUGUCCUUCAUCUUCCGAGUCCUACAGGUGCGACUUAGCUAGACCCAUUUGACAGAUGAGGACACUGAGGUUCAAAAAGGCAAACCAACUUUUUCAAGUCAAAAUGAGAGAACGAUUUUCGUUUCCCUGGUCCAGACCUGCCUUGGUCUUUCUGGAAAGAAUGAGGGGAGAGUCCUGGUGAAUUGACUCUUAUGUAUCACUGGCUAGCACCCUUCCACUGACCACCAGGGCACAAGGGGAGGCCCCACAAGGGGACAAAUGAACGUAAGCUACGCUUCAGGUGGCAAGCUCCACACUUAGCUAUUCACAUCCAUGAGCUCAUUUUUCCUUUCUUAGACAUCCCAAGGGGCAGGGUUUAUUAUUCCAUCUUUUCAGAUGAGUAAACUGAGGCAGAGAGACGUGGGGUGUCCUCUUCAUAAUGACCCAGGCUGAAUGUUCAAGGCAGCUUAGCUCAAAGUGCCCCAGGCAAGGCUGCAACCUGGGUCUGCCCAACUCUGAGCAGGCUCUUUGCAGCCCGCUCUAUGGACGUGUUUCACCCUUACGGGAGAGGGUCUGUCCGGUGCCAGGGGACCGUGUAGCAGUGCCUCUCAGUGGGUGCCUUGAAGGACGGUGCAUGGGGAAGACCUUCAUGGCCAAGUGCAGCUGCUGCCUCCUCUUGGAGAUUUCCAAGACAAGCCGGGACUUCAAGGACCUGGAGAAGACCUGCUGUCAGAUAGUGGCGUUAAUAUGGUCUAACUCUUCGCUCCCAAACUCGUCUGAGCACAGAAAGCCUUUGCUUGUCCUUUUUCUUUUCUUUUCUUUUCUCUUCCCUUUCCCUUCGUUUCUUUACUUUUUUUGUCUCUCUUCUUUCUCCAUCUCCCACUAUGUCUGCCUGUCUGUCUGUUUCUCCUCUCUCUCUCUUCUAAUUCAUCAAAGAUCGUAGACUCUGGGAAAGUGAGCUCUAAGAUGCUGAGGAGGAAACUGCUCAGAUUUGGUCUGAGCAGGUGUUUGCUUCAGCGCCUACUGUGGGCCCUGGGCUCGGGUAGACUCCCAUCCCUCGGGACGAUCUGGCACCGGGGUGCAUCACUGGCGUUCCUUCACCAGCGAGCAUACAGAGGCUCUGAAAGCUCCUGCAAAACAGUGGUGCACACGUCACUCCAAACGCUGCUGGUCGGCGUUGGCACCUGGGGCUCAGCGCCCUCCCUACUCUGCUCUCAUGUGACUGUGGACACUUAAGAUGUGUUAGAUUGGACUUCAGGUUCAGCUUGUGUUGCAUAAUGUACCUCCGGCUGACCACUGGGCCUCGCUCAGCAACGGCUCACCCUGAUGUUGAGACCUGCCCUGUUGCGGGAGGAUGAGGCAGGAUGGGGAGGCCGAUUGCUCAUUUCCAUACAAAGCAGCCGGCCGGUCGGCACUUGCAUCCAUCUCCACUGUGGCAACAGGAAAGACGAGAUCCACAGUAAUUGGCUUCACCUCUUGAUCUCUGGUCAGAGCUGUUCCCAGCUGUCACAGUGACAUAUUGCUCCCUGACACAAUGGCCAUUGCAACACUUUUUUUGUUUUUUUAAACAAUAUGAAUGCAAGGAAAUUUUCAGCUCCUUCGAGAUCCCUGUGGUUGAUGCGAAGGGACAAUUCUUGUCCCCGAGAUGUGACGUUGCUCAUCCUUUCCUCUGGCUGGAAGACCUAUUGUGUUUAACGCAACCUUUAUUCUAGGAUCUUAAAACGUCUUUUAACCAAAUAGUGAUGAUUCAUUUCUGGAUGGGGCAGCAGCGCUAAAAGAUUAAGACUUGCCGUUUUAUCUCCUCAUCUAACCUUCCCUUUCUUCCUAAGCUACCCCACCCACCUUCCUCUGGCCUCCUCUCCAAGCCCCAAUUAGCAGAUGGGAGGGGCUGCUUGGUCAAGGGCGCCUUGUUGUGGGUGGUCCAGAUUGUUGCGAGCAUUUCCUCGCUGCAUCUCCAGCUCCGGGGAGAUGGGCAGCUGACAUCAGUGGGAAAAUCUUCCUGGGAGAUUUCAAAGCUUUGGAGACUCAACUGUUGAUGGCGAAUUAAGAAAAAAAACAAAGAGGCAAAGUAUCCCAAAGGCGUUAUUUGGACAAAGUCAUCUGACCUCACCCUGUCCCAGCGUUCAGAUCCUAUGAUCUUGGGCUUCCCCAGACCAUUGGACUUUGCUAUUAACGGGGAGAAGCAAGACAGCAAGGAGGAAGCAAGACAACGAAUAUCUGUCAAGAGCUUUCUGUGUGCCACGUGCUUGUUUUUUGUACCCAUAGAUUUCGUCACGCUGGGCCAACAAUGGUGAUGAUGAUGCUAGCAAACACAGAUGGGGGGCACUAUGUGUCAAAAAUUGUUCUCAGUGCUUUGCAUGUACUAACUAAUUUAAUUUUCGCAGCCGUCUUAUCAAGCGGGAACUAUUCUUAUCCGAUUUUACAGUGGAGGGUUUUGAAGCACCAAGGUGUUGAGUAACCUGAUCAGGGUCACACAGCUCAGAGGUGACGGAGCCAGGAAAGAAACCUAAAUAGUCUGACUCCAGAAUCUGUGCUGCUAUCCAUUGUUUUUUUCAGACUGCAAAUUACUUAAUAGUGGUAGGCUCCCCCAGACUUUUGUAGCUGGCGGGGGUGGGAGGAUGUUGACGAGUCGGGAGCAUGGGAGUGUGGCAUAUCUAGACCUCAACUCUGACAACACUAUGAACACAAUUCUCCCCAACGCGCCUCCCUGGGCGAGAGCACAGGGUGGGCUCCAUCUCUCUCAGACCAGGCAUGGAAAGAGGUAGAUGCGUCGCUAUGACACAAAGCAGACCUCCACCCAGGGGAAAUGACAGUGUAGGGCACACAGGGCCAGGGCCACAAAAUAAGUCUGGGGUGGAAGGGGUCGGGUAUCGUUGCUGCUGCUGUUAUCAUUCUCUAGCGAGGUGCUCUGGCUGUUGAAAUCAGUCGGUGGAAGGGAGCUAUGUUCACGUACACGAUAAUUACUAAGGCGUCCUUGCUCCACUGGGGCUUCCAACCUUCAUCCAUCCACCCUUUGGUUGCUCGAGUUGGAGAAUCUCUGCCCACGUUGCUCCAGCCAGCGAGCCAGAGAGUGGAUGGGUGGGUAUGUGGAAUGAGGGUACCGCCAUCAUCAGGCGGAGGGUUUCGGAACUGCACAUGCUCGUGGGCAAAAGCCAAUGGACUUCUGUCUGGCCAGGAGUGUUCCUGACUCCGUGUGUUUCCUGAUACACAUUUACAUGUGCUUUGCUUUGUCUCGUCUUAUUUCGUUUUAUUUCCCUCUGAUUGAAUGGUUCCUCCUUCCCACGUCCUGGGGAGUGGGUGCCGGUCUCCGCUCUCCCAAGGAUGAAGCAGCGACGGAGUGACUGUGGCCCCACUGGAGGACAUACUUGAGGAGUGGCUGCCCCAGGUCGCAGAUGUGACACCAGGCUCGGCAUUUUCUUCUAGUUUGCCAAGGGUCCCCCACGUGCUGGGCCUUCCCUUCUGGUGAGUGGCUCCUCCUCCCGCUUUUCCUCCGAGUCUUCAGUGGAACAGGGUGGAUGAGGAGACCGGCCACUGGGACGGCAAAGCCCUUCUCCUUGGUGACGGCAGCCACAGCUUUUGCCAGGUGCCAAGUCCUCUUGGCCUUCAAGGGUGCUGAGUUUGGAUCCGAACACAGCAGCCCCUUUGGAGUUGAAAUUUGUUUUCCUCUUGGAAAAAGGCAGCUUCCUGAUUGCUAGAGAAAGAGAAGAAAGUCUUUAAAAGGCUCUGGCGUUCCUGGUGGCCUCCAACCCAUCAGCCUACAAGAUUUUGAUGAUAUAAGUGUCGACGGAUUAAAAACAUGUGGUCUGUGUUUCCUCUGAAUUCAAA